UAGGGAAUCUUCGGCAAUGGGGGGAACCCUGACCGAGCAACGCCGCGUGAGUGAAGAAGGUUUUCGGAUCGUAAAGCUCUGUUGUUAAGGAAGAACGAGUGUGAGAAUGGAAAGUUCAUACUGUGACGGUACUUAACCAGAAAGGGACGGCUAACUACGUGCCAGCAGCCGCGGUAAUACGUAGGUCCCGAGCGUUGUCCGGAUUUAUUGGGCGUAAAGCGAGCGCAGGCGGUUAGAUAAGUCUGAAGUUAAAGGCAGUGGCUCAACCAUUGUAGGCUUUGGAAACUGUUUAACUUGAGUGCAGAAGGGGAGAGUGGAAUUCCAUGUGUAGCGGUGAAAUGCGUAGAUAUAUGGAGGAACACCGGUGGAGAAAGCGGCUCUCUGGUCUGUAACUGACGCUGAGGCUCGAAAGCGUGGGGAGCGAACAGG
rnacentral:rRNA from 1 species